rnacentral:rRNA from 1 species
UACGAAGGGGGCUAGCGUUGCUCGGAAUUACUGGGCGUAAAGCGCGCGCAGGCGGCGGUGUUGGCCCGGCGUGAAAGCCCCCGGCUCAACCGGGGAGGGUCGUCGGGGACCGCACCGCUUGAGGGCGGUAGGGGCUGGUGGAAUGCCUGGUGUAGUGGUGAAAUGCGUAGAGAUCAGGCGGAACACCUGUGGCGAAGGCGGCCAGCUGGGCCGUCCCUGACGCUGAGGCGCGAAGGCGUGGGGAGCGAACGGG